rnacentral:lncRNA from 1 species
AGUGAAAUAAAUUUUUAUUUAAAGAAUUUUACUCAAAAUAACAUCUUUAAGGAAAAAUAAAUACAAAACAUUUGAUUCGUCAUUCGACCUUCCACGCGCCUCCGGCCUUUAAAACCUGAAAAUGUUAAGUAUGGGAUGAGCAUACAGGGUACACUCAGUGUGGGAACAUGCAAUCAUUGUCCACGUUAAUAAAAUGAGAAUCACAUAUGAUCAAUACAUUCGUGACUGAAAGUCGCACGGUGGCAUACCAAGGACCUUUCAGUCCUGGACCGAUUGAGCCGGCCCCUGGCGACUGGUUGCAACCAUAACUGUAACAUGAAAUCGCAUUGUGGCAUACCAAGGACUGUGAAGUCCUGGACCCAUUGAGCGGGCCCCUAGCGAUAUAAUUUAAUGCAACUCACAUAUGGUAAACACAUGAUAUUAAAAUGGACAAGAAUUAACCACGGGCAUGUACUG